rnacentral:rRNA from 1 species
CAGCCGCCGCGGGAAUACGAAGGGGGCUAGCGUUGUUCGGAAUUACUGGGCGUAAAGCGCACGUAGGCGGAUACUUAAGUUAGGGGUGAAAUCCCAGGGCUCAACCCUGGAACUGCCUUUAAUACUGGGUAUCUUGAGUUCGAGAGAGGUAAGUGGAAUUCCGAGUGUAGAGGUGAAAUUCGUAGUUAUUCGGAGGAACACCAGUGGCGAAGGCGGCUUACUGGCUCGAUACUGACGCUGAGGUGCGAAAGCGUGGGGAGCAAACAGGAUUAGAUACCCGCGUAGUCCCUGUCUCUUAUAC